CCUACGGGAGGCAGCAGUGAGGAAUAUUGGUCAAUGGGCGCGAGCCUGAACCAGCCAAGUCGCGUGAGGGAAGACGGUCCUAUGGAUUGUAAACCUCUUUUGUCGGGGAGCAAAAGACGCCACGCGUGGCGUUCCGAGAGUACCCGAAGAAAAAGCAUCGGCUAACUCCGUGCCAGCAGCCGCGGUAAUCCGGAGGAUGCGAGCGUUAUCCGGAUUUAUUGGGUUAAAAGGGUGCGCAGGCGGAAGAUCAAGUCAGCGGUAAAAGUGAGAGGCUCAACCUCUUCGAGCCGUUGAAACUGGUUUUCUUGAGUGAGCGAGAAGUAUGCGGAAUGCGUGGUGUAGCAGUGAAAUGCAUAGAUAUCACGCAGAACUCCGAUUGCGAAGGCAGCAUACCGGCGCUCAACUGACGCUCAUGCACGAAAGUGUGGGUAUCGAACAGGAUUAGAUACCCGGGUAGUC
rnacentral:rRNA from 1 species